AUGUUUAAAAUAGGCCUUAAAGAUUUCUGCAAUGAGAUACCUUUAGAAGCAUUGGAAUAUGAUGAAGAUAAAGCAAGUGGGGUAGAACAGAUGCUGCUGAAAAACAAAUGGAAGCUGGCAAGCAGCUGAAGGCCUGUGGUGGUUGACCAAUCUGCUCUGAACUGUUCCAGGAGCCUCCAGAGAACAAGAGGUUUGACAACUUUAUUUGAAAUAUCUUGGGGGGAUAGAAACUGGAACAGCGUACAUCCUCUGUGGUAUGGCACAAAAUAGAGACGUACUUGGUGGAUGCUGCUUAUAGCCCAGGUUUCUCCUAGGUGCAGUGUGGUUUCCUACCUAAGCUGUGUCCUGCACGUAGUCUCUUACUGAGUCUGGAUAAGCUAAAUAUAUAAUCGUCCAUGCUUACAGCUUACAGAAUCCUGACAUAAAAGAAAUAAUUUGAUUUCGAUUUCUAAGGGAGGAGCACAAGGUACAACUGCUCCCUGGGGAUGGAGUGGUAAAAAGAAGCGUGCAGAUGCAAGUUUGGCUUGUUUCACGAAGCUCUUAAAAAUAUAUAUGUUAAAAAAUCAUAGUUUUUUUGUUCCAAGUGGUUCCUUUUCAAGAGAUGGGAGAUCUUGUUGGUGCUCGGAGUGCAAAAUCUAGUGCCAGUUUCCACCAACAGGUACUGUAAAUAAGUGGGCUGCUUGCAGCAAAAGCUGUAUUUGUAGAGUGCAGUGGAAAGUUGGUUUACUUGGGUCUUGUGAAAAGUUUUCAGAUAUGGAGACAAAAGAUAUUUAAGCCAGAUACCUCUCACUUUCCAAGCACAAAACAUACUUUCCCUUCUUUCUUCAAAUGUAGUUCCCCUUGCAAAACUUUGUGGAGAACAAUACAAUAAUCAGCUCUUAACAUCUAAUUAUGCUUUUCCCUUUACAAAAGGAACUCAUAUUCUUAAAUAACACUUCCUGGCAGCAGUGAGCUUUGUGGCUCCCUUUGAAAGAAAGGGGAAAACAAUGCAACCCAGCCCAAAUAUCUUCAGAUCAUUAAUGUACAGGGAAUUGGGUGCAGAAUCUUUUCUUAACUUCAUCACUAGAUGAAAAUAAUACUUACCCUUGAGCACUUGGCUGUAUUCUUGUACUGAAUGCCAACAAUAAUC
rnacentral:lncRNA from 1 species